AGGGAAGGCGGGAGGGAGGAGGAAAAUAGGAAAGUAGAACGGAAGGAUAGUAAGAGCUUGUUCUUAUGGGUGGCGAGUGGGGGACGGGUGAGGAAUAUAUAGGAAUUUACUUUUUCGUGUGGGAUAACGUAGGUAAACUUACGCUAAUACCGCAUACGACCUACCGGUGAAAGCAUUGGAUCUUCUGACCUUUCGCGAUUGAAUUAGCCGAUGUCGGAUUAGUUAGUUGGCGGGGUAAAGGCCCACCAAGGCGACGAUCCGUAGCUGGUCUGAGAGGAUGAUCAGCCACACUGGAACUGAGACACGGUCCAGACUCCUAAGGGAGGCAGCAGUGGGGAAUAUUAGACAAUGGGCGCAAGCAUGAUACAGCCAUACCGCGUGGGUGAAGAAGACCUUCGGGUUGUAAAGCCCUUUUGUUGGGAAAGAAAAGCAGCAGGUUAAUACCACGCUGUUCUGACGGUACCCAAAGAAUAAGCACCGGCUAACUUCGUA
rnacentral:rRNA from 1 species